rnacentral:lncRNA from 1 species
UCUCAUCUCAGCCUCCCGAGUAGCUGGGAAUUACAGGCCUCCUAAAGUGCAAGAAUUACAAGUAUGAGCCACUAUGCCUGGCCCCCACCCUGCCUAUUGAGAACCAAAAGAAGGAACCAAAUUCUCCGUAGCUCAACUCGAGCCAUUUCCUGAUUUCUUCAUCAGGAAUGAGCUGGUUAUUGGGCUGUCCAGGCCUCUCAAGCAGCACAGAAAUGAGAAACAGGAUCUUGCUCUCUCACCCUGGAUGGAGUUCAGUGGUGCAAUCACAGCUCAUUGUAGCCUCAACCCCCCAGGCUAGCAAUCCUACCACGGCCUUUCGAGUAGCUGUGACUACAGGUGAGCGCCAUGACACUCAGUGAAUUUUCAAUUUUUCGGUAGAGGUG